rnacentral:rRNA from 1 species
CCUACGGGCGGCUGCAGUGGGGAAUUGUUCGCAAUGGGCGCAAGCCUGACGACGCAACGCCGCGUGGAGGAUGAAGGUCUUCGGAUUGUAAACUCCUGUUGAUCGGGACGAAAGGCUUCGACCUAACACGUCGGAGAGUGACGGUACCGGUUGAGGAAGCCACGGCUAACUCUGUGCCAGCAGCCGCGGUAAUACAGAGGUGGCAAGCGUUGUUCGGAAUUACUGGGCGUAAAGGGCGCGUAGGCGGCCUCCUAAGUCGAACGUGAAAGCCCCAG